CCUCCUGCCUCAGCCUCCCAUGUCUCAUCUUUAAAAUGUGGAUAAUAAGUCAUACCAACUUCACGGCGUAAUCAUGAGGAGUAAAAAUAAUAAUAUGCAUCAAAUCUUUAAAAUGUUACCCAGCACACACUACUAUUAUUAUUGUCACAAUUACUAUUUUCUUUUUAAUAAAAAUAUUUUUUGUAGAGAUGGGCGCUCCCGGUGCCUGGGGUGGGCUGCGCAUGCUCAGCAGUGGGGCUGGGUGGUCAGGGCCUCCUGCGCGGCGCCGGGGUGUGCUGCGCAUGCUCAGCAGCGGCGUUGAGGGUCCCGGCUGGGCCCGGUGUCAGCCCUGCCUCUGUAACGCUAGCUUUGCAAGGCGGGGCUAGGCUUUGCACCGGUGUCCCGUUGCUUGCACAGCACCAGUCCAGAUCCGCUCACCUGGGGAUGUGAAAUAUCAAAUAUUUUUAAGAUAGCCAAUUAUCCUAUUUGGUUUAGAAUGUAGAAUUCUUUAAAAAGUAGGAGACGGGAACAGAUAGAAGUAGAAAAGUCAGCUGGGGCCAGAUGAUAGAAGGUUUCUCAUUCCAGUUUAAUUAACUUGAGUUUUAUUUGCAAGCUGUGAGAGCAUACAAUGUUUUGGCUCAUGGAAACAAACUGACCAAAGAGAUGGCAUUGAGGAUCAAUGAGACUCAUGAGUGGGAUGGUGGCGGAGAAACAGGGCACAGUGAGGGACCUGUGGAGAGGUCAGACAGGCUUGAGG
rnacentral:lncRNA from 1 species